UAUAUUACCUCAUUUGCCAACAA
rnacentral:siRNA from 1 species